rnacentral:rRNA from 1 species
UAGGGAAUCUUCCGCAAUGGGCGAAAGCCUGACGGAGCAACGCCGCGUGAGUGAUGAAGGUCUUCGGAUCGUAAAACUCUGUUAUCAGGGAAGAAUAAAUGUGUAAGUAACUGUGCACGUCUUGACGGUACCUGAUCAGAAAGCCACGGCUAACUACGUGCCAGCAGCCGCGGUAAUACGUAGGUGGCAAGCGUUCUCCGGAAUUAUUGGGCGUAAAGCGCGCGUAGGCGGUUUUUUAAUUCUGAUGUGAAAGCCAACGGCUCAACCGUGGAGGGUCAUUGGAAACUGGAGAACUUGAGUGCAGAAGAGGAAAGUGGAAUUCCAUGUGUAGCGGUGAAAUGCGCAGAGAUAUGGAGGAACACCAGUGGCGAAGGCGACUUUCUGGUCUGUAACUGACGCUGAUGUGCGAAAGCGUGGGGAUCAAACAGG